AUUUUCUCCAUCUCUACUGCUGUCCAUACUAUCCCACUAAAUGGUACCUGUCUUGAUACUUGCGGCACAAUACCUGUGAAGUUCCCUUUUGGCACUGGAUUUGGAUGUGGACACCCUGACUUUGCUAGAUACGUGAGAUGCAACUCAGGCACUCUGGAAUUUUCUACGGGCACUGGCAUUUACACCAUCUCCUCAAUUGAUUACCCAAGCAACACUUUGAUUGUCAGAGACCCUCUCAUGUCAACUUGCAGUUCAAUGCAGGACUCAGGAAGCUUUAGCUUGGAUCGGGCUAGUCCAUUCACUUUAACAGGAGAUAAUAUCUUUGUUUUGCUAGGAUGCUCUACCACUUCUCCUGUAUUUGACCCAAAAGAAGAUUUGUGCGACACAGGGUCAGGU
rnacentral:misc_RNA from 1 species